ACAGCCCUAUUCUAUUACAGUGAA
rnacentral:siRNA from 1 species